GACCAGCCGCUGACCAGCGGUCGUGUCUAUUUAUAAAGAGGUAAAAGGGAAGCAGGGGAAGUACCUGCGCGAUCUCGUCACUGUAAGCUGUAAAGGAGAUCCGGAAAGUUAUCAUCCAGAUCCCAUGCAUAUAAAACGUGGAUAGAAAGGACAGAAUAUCCGCCACUGGGAAACCGGGAAGGCAGUUUUGUAUGUAGAAAGCAGCAAGCCAGGAAACCUGCCAUUUGUUGGUACAGGAGA
rnacentral:ncRNA from 17 species